CUAUGGUCACACCACCCCAAUGCACCUGAUCUUGUCUGAUCUUGAAAGCUAAGCAGGGCUGGGCCUGGUUAGUAUCCUGAUGGGAGACAUUUGUAGAACAGUCCACCUAACAGA
rnacentral:rRNA from 1 species